CGGUGAAGAUGCCGGAUUACCCGCAACGGGACGGAAAGACCCCAUGCACCUUUACUAUAGCUUAACAUUGAAAUUGGGUACAGGAUGUGUAGGAUAGGCGGGAGAUUUUGAAGCGGCUUCGCCAGGAGUCGUGGAAUCAACCUUGAAAUACCGCCCUUUCUGUAUCCGGUUUCUAAUCCCGCUAUGCGGAGGACACUGCGUGGUGGGUAGUUUGACUGGGGUGGUCGCCUCCAAAAAGGUAACGGAGGCUUUCAAAGGUAAGCUCAGUACGCUUGGUAACCGUACGGGGAGUGCAAUGGCAUAAGCUUGCUUGACUGUGAGACCAACAAGUCGACCAGGGUCGAAAGACGGAUAUAGUGAUCCGGUGGUUCUGAUGGAAGGGCCAUCGCUCAAAGGAUAAAAGGUACGCUGGGGAUAACAGGCUGAUCUCCCCCAAGAGCUCAUAUCGACGGGGAGGUUUGGCACCUCGAUGUCGGCUCGUCACAUCCUGGGGCUGGAGAAGGUCCCAAGGGUU
rnacentral:ncRNA from 1 species